UGGAAGAUUCGAACCUGCCGCAGGUUCGGGUCGAACGCAGUGAGACAACGGAGCCGUUUACGGCGACGGCCCGAAGGGCGAGCAAAGCGAGUCAUCCUGCACGACCCACCA
rnacentral:sRNA from 4 species